CCCCGCCUGCAGCCUCUCCUGAAGCCCUGGAGCGCAUUUUCCGGAAUUCCGGACCCCAGAACUUCCAGGCGGUUACACCCUGGGAACCUCCUAGGUGAGCCCCCCCAGUAGGCGCGACCCCAGUGUCCUCACCGAGCUCUGGCCCCUUCGCGGCCCCUUCUGUACCGAGGCUUCCACGGUUGCCUAGGCGCCUACUGUGUACCGUCAGGAGCUGGAGGCACAGAGCCCCAAGGCCUCGUGGGGCUGGAUUCUGCGGGGGUAGUCGCACUUGUUGCUGAAUCACGAGACGGAAGUUUGUAACUAGGGAGAUUUAGCGGAGUCUUCGACGGCUGGAGUUGACCAGGAACGUGAUCCACCAAAAGACACUGCCACUGGCGGGAAGUCCGUGCUCAGCUACUCCAGUGGUGUUCAGCUACUCCAAUUGGUUCCAGUUGGCUGUUUGGCCAAGCUCCAGCUGUCAGCCACCCCUGAAGCCCCACCAUUGUAAAGCCACCCCUUCAGCAGACCAGCUGACUUCAGUCAGUGUUGGGCCGAGCCCAGCCCACACUCCUGACUUACAAAGCAGUGGCAGGUGUUUCUCAUCAGCUACUGAGUCUGGUAGCAGGUACUUGCACCUGCCACACCCCUCCAGAUCCAUAGUGUCUCCAUCCUGACCAGACCUGGGGAAGUUUCUAGAUUCUGGCCUGUUGAAAUUCUGCUCUCUAGGCAGGACCAAACUUCCAGAAAAUAGCUGAGUGGUGGGUUGUCAGCCUUUGAUAGGCCUCACCACUGGGUACUCAAAGCAACCUCCCAGUGUCCUCAGCACCAUGGACUCAUUUGCCUGUGACACAGGCAGAGGGGCGGAAGGUGACAGGAGGGAGAAGUCAGGAUGCUUAUUCCCUCCACUCCCUGAGUCAUUGAAGAGAACUGUCUUUCUGGCAAGGCUGUAACUUCUGGCAGGCUUCCCCCCCCCACUCUUACCCCCACCGCUCCCCUCUUGGCCCUGUCUCCAAGGCAAUAGCCCCAAGAACUGCACCAUGUAUGGCUGCUUUCCCUGGGCUCGGCUCUCUGUGCUAAGGUUUUCUUAAAAGCAGAUCCCGAGACAAAGUUUGGGGUUUAUUUAAAGAGAUCUAAGGAAACACCACAAGAAGAAUGCAGAAAAAGACAGAGCAGUGAGAGAACCUAGUAGCAGGCACGUGACCAGCCUGGGCUCUGGAAUCAGCCUCUGGGAGAUUAUGGGUUAUGCAGUUAACCCAGCUGAGUAUCCAGGGAGUGAGGGGCUUAACCACAGACUCUCCUCCAUUAUCAGGUGUGUUUGUGGGUAGAUUUUGCAAAGAUCAAACCCUAGACUUCUCGAGUGGCAGGCAAACACUGUAUCUCUCCCCGCCUCCCAGUGUCCUGGUCUUGUUUUAAGGCUACUUCCAUUAUCUUCUUGGUACGCUUAGUUCACAUGGUUAAGCUUGCUCCAGUGGCUGCCUAGUAUCUGCAGCAGAGAGACACACCCAGGGGCAUCCAGGUGUUAGUGGAAAGUAGUCUUCACCAUGUACACUGACGUCCAGAUUACUCAGGCAGCUCAUGGCACAGUUCACACCUUUGCAGACAGUCUGGUAAGCUUUCCUCCAUUACUCUGUUUGAGUGUGUCAUUUGGUCCCUGCCAGUUGAUACAGACUGGCUGUGAGCUUCUCCACACAACACACAUCAGGCUGAGAGCUGGAAGAGGGAUGGAGAGAAACACCUUCCCCCAAAUGCAUUCUGCACCCAACAGAGUUUGUUACUGAGGUAGGUUCCCAAGCACACAGGAACUUCUGCUCUCUUAGCCUCCCUGCAAAACUAAGCUCAAGGUCUAACCCGAGCUAGGGUGGAGUGGUUCAUGCCUGGAUUCCUAGUGCUUGGGAGGUAGAAGCCAGAUUGCCACAAAAUUAAGAGCUACGUUGAGAGUGAGACACUACUUCAAAUAUAUGUAAAUCCAAUUCCAGCAAGUAAAUUGCAUUAUGGAAACUGCUUAGGGGUGAGCUCCAGCUAAGACUAGAGUCAGGGUAAUAAUGCAGUAACUCAAUAGCCAAACAGUCAAUAUUACAAAGUUAACAAAGUUUCACAUUUCACUAAAAAACAAACAAACAAAAACAAAACUACAAUCUGCCAGGCCAGGCCUUUAAUCCAAACACUCGUGAGGCAGAGGCAGGUGAUCUUUGAAUUCAAGGCUGGUCUAGUCUGGGUGAGUGGAUGAGUGGUCCCCUCCGGUCCUGCUGAAUCUACAGCACUGGGGACUCAAGGUCACCCUGGGUGUCAGGUUUAUGCCAGUCAGAAGAGGAAGUUUGAGGAAGCCAGGUUCAGAAGGAGCACAUUUAAGUCAUUGUAGCAGGAGUCAUUGUAGUAGGGUUUAGCACAGAGUUGUGCAAGGAGAUGGGGUAGGCUGGGAAAUGUAGUUCAGCAACAUCCAAAGUUGGCCAGAGUAGGAAAGUAUCUUCCUUGAGGAAGUCCUUUUGCUGUUCCCCUCUCCAGAAGACUUGCUACCAUUCUCACGAGGUCAGAAAGUCCUGUGAGGGGCUGGAGAGAAGGCUUGGCAGUCCAGAGCACACCCUGGUCUUGCGGAGGUUCUGAGUCUGGUUUUCAGCACUAUGUGAGUUGACUUGUAAUUGCCUGUAACUUCACUUUUACUCAUGUAUGCCCACUGUGUGUGUGUGUAUGUUGUGUGAACAUAUAUAUAAUCUCAAUCUAAAAAAAGGUCCUAUGAAGAAUGAAUGUGUUGGUGCAUGCCUGUAAUUCCAGCACUUGGGAAGUGGAGGUAGAAGAAUUGGGUCAUCCUGAGCUACAUAGUGAGUUCAAGGCCAGCCUGAUCUACAGGAUGAGUCCAGAACAGCCAGGGACACACAGAGAAACCCUGUUUCAAAAAAAAAAAAAACCAAAAACAAAGAAACAAACAAAAAGCAAAAACAGAAAACAAAGUUCCAUGUCAUACUGUUAGAAGGAAAAUGGAUAGAACCAAAAAUCACCAGGUCAAAUAAAUCAAGUUAAAAGUGAAAAGUAGAUUACAAGUACAGAAUAAUUAUCAUAAGGGGCUGUUGGUUAGACAAGGGUCAGGAGGAGAAAUGGAGAAGGUAACUGGUGCAUUACCUCAAAUGUGCUCAAAGCACACUGUUUAUGUCUCUUCCCAUUAUCUUGUACAAUUAAUGUCCACUAAUCAAAGAAGACAGUCUUAUGACUUUGGUAGCCAGUGGGUAGGUUAAUCUUCUCUCUAGCAAUCCAAGCUGAGGCCCUGGUCUGAGAAUGUAAGCUUGUAUGUUGUGGCGUGUAUAUGAUGGAGUGUCAGGGGAGACCCCAGUCAUUGUGACACCUCCGAGAUAGAGGGGACCGUCAUCUGAGCAGGGCCUUGGUGCAUCCCUGUGCAGAUUUAGGUAGGUGGCUGCCGGUGAGGCUGUCCAGGUAGCAGUGUUAGUCCCCUGCACCUCUGUUGGUAUAAUGUUCUUUUAAAAUGUAUAUGCCUUAUCCUUGUUAAUUCAAAUGCUGAUUUCCCCAGCCCCAACUCUCUGGUUUCAAUCUGGAUAUUGCAUUGUGAUAAGCAUCCUGUCUCAACUCUUGUGUAAACAGGACACAAAUAAAGCAACUAGAUACAAUGUUGUGCAAUGGGAGGGGCCAGAGGACAGGAAAGAGGGGAGGAGCUAGAGAACAGGAAGGGGCGAGAAGGAGGAGGAGCUGGAGGAGAGGAGAGCAGAGCGGGAGGAGAGACCUAAGAUUUCACAAAAAGCAAGUAAAAUGUGGGAAAUCUAAAUGUUAGGAAACUGAGGGCUUGGAGGUUGAGGAGGGAGUAAAUAUUGCCCAGCAUUGUGUUCUAGGUUAACUAAAAA